rnacentral:rRNA from 1 species
UACGUAGGGUGCAAGCGUUUGUCCGGAAUUAUUGGGCGUAAAGAGCUCGUAGGCGGUUUGUCGCGUCUGCUGUGAAAACGCGAGGCUCAACCUCGCGCCUGCAGUGGGUACGGGCAGACUAGAGUGCGGUAGGGGAGACUGGAAUUCCUGGUGUAGCGGUGAAAUGCGCAGAUAUCAGGAGGAACACCGGUGGCGAAGGCGGGUCUCUGGGCAACAACUGACGCUGAGGAGCGAAAGCGUGGGGAGCGAACAGG